rnacentral:rRNA from 1 species
UACGUAGGGGGCUAGCGUUGUCCGGAUUUAUUGGGCGUAAAGAGCGUGUAGGCGGCCAGGUAGGUCUGCUGUGAAAACUCGAGGCUCAACCUCGAGACGUCGGCGGAAACCAUCUGGCUAGAGUCCGGAAGAGGAGAGUGGAAUUCCUGGUGUAGCGGUGAAAUGCGCAGAUAUCAGGAAGAACACCGGUGGCGAAGGCGGCUCUCUGGGCCUUACCUGACGCUGAGGCGCGAAAGCUAGGGAGCAAACAGG